UCCAUUCUGCCUACACUCUCAUCCUCACCAGUGUCUUGAGUUAAUUAUGAGGAGAAAGGAGGGGCAUUUGCACGUCUGGACACUUGUGCUCUGUAGUUCUAUCCCUGUUUGUAGUCACUUUGUAACCUAGGCAACGCCUGUUGGUAUUUCUUUUCUUUCUUUUUCUUUUUUUUUUUUUAAAAAGAUUUAUUUAUUUUGGAUGUUAGAGUCAGCGUCUCGCUAUUAGCAUUGGUUAAGCUGGAACAGGCUGGCUUCAAACUCAGAGACACAUCUGCCUCCCCCCCCCCCAAGUGCUGGUAUUAAAGGCCUGUGCCACUGCACCUGGCAAGGUUAAUGUUUGUUUUAUGAGUAUUGAUUUUUCGCCUGCAUGGAUUUCUUUGCACCAUGUGCCUGCCUAGUGCCCUCCAAGGCCAGAAGAAGGUGUUGGAUCUAACGGAACUAGAGUUACAGAUGGUUGUGAACCACCGUUUAGCAGGAAGAAGAGAGGAAGAAAAUCACAGAAGAGGGGGCAUCCAGAGCCGACAGCCUGCAGUCUGCCUGGCUUUUAGUCCUUGCUCCAGGACCAACUGAUGCACUUAACCGUCCCUCUUCCUAACCACCAAACUGCCGGUUCCCCGAGCUGCUGUGGUGUGUUCUGGACUGGAAGCAUUCACCUAACUUGAAGCACACUGGCCUCAUCUUAAUCUGUCCACACUGACUAAAUUUUCAGGCUGUGGUUGGGAACUGUGCCCUUCGGCCUGUGGAAACUCCGUUUCUGCUUCCUCUGAGUUUAGCUAGGGGGACCCAGAAAAGUCGAGCAUGGAAGGCUAACCCCCAGAAGACCCCAAGAAGGUGCAAUGGCUGGUCACCAAAAUAUCUUUUUAGAGGAUGAGCACGUGGGAACUCUGUGGAAAUACAUUUGGAAUGUUUCAGAAUAAACAUCUCCUCGUGCCCUUGCAUGGUGAACUGGCCUGGCAGCCAGGACACCGGUGACGUGUGGCCAUCCUUCUCUGUGUUUCCAAAGCAUGGGAAGAGCCAUUUGCUGGGCUGUUAGAAUCUGGCUUCAGAGAGGGCUGGUGAGGACUCCUGAGCUCUGAGUGUCACCAGCACACAUAUCUUCAGGGAGAUAAAGCUGUACUCAAGGCAGCAACAGUUAACCAUGCUUCCCCAGUCUUCUGGUGUACUUGAUGGGGGAUGUCCUUCCAUGCAUAUGCGUUUCUCCUAUUGGUUGAUGAAUAAAACACUGUUGGCCAAUAAGGCAGGAAGGUAGGCAGGACUAGGAGACGAGGAGAAUUCUGGGGAAGGUAGGCAGAAGGAGUCACCAUGUAGGGCCCGGGAAGAUAGGACGCACCAGGAGUUCCCCAGUAAGAUAAGACCACAUGGAAAUACAUAGAUGAACAGAAAUGGGUUAAUAAUUAAGACAGAGCUAGCCAAUAAGGAGCCCUAGCCACCGGCCAAUAGUUUUACAACUGA